UGAACGCUGGCGGCGUGCCUAAUACAUGCACAUCGAACGCUGGAGAUCUAGCUUGCUAGAUCGAAGGAGUGGCGAACGGGUGAGUAAUACAUAGGCAACCUACCCACGAAGACUGGGAUAAUCUCUGGAAACGGGGACUAAUACCGGAUAGGUAAUCGGAAGGCAUCUUCUGGUUAUUAAAGGUUAAAAACACUGGUGGAUGGGCUUAUGGCGCAUUAGUUAGUUGGUGAGGUAACGGCCCACCAAGACGAUGAUGCGUAGCCGGCCUGAGAGGGUGAACGGCCACAUUGGGACUGAGACACGGCCCAGACUCCUACGGGAGGCAGCAGUAGGGAAGUUUCGGCAAUGGGGGCAACCCUGACCGAGCAACGCCGCGUGAGUGAAGACGGCCUUCGGGUUGUAAAGCUCUGUUGUAAGGGAAGAACGGUAGAUAGAGAAUAUCUAAGUGACGGUACCUUACCAGAAAGCCACGGCUAACUACGUG
rnacentral:rRNA from 1 species